rnacentral:rRNA from 1 species
UACAGAGGUCUCAAGCGUUGUUCGGAUUCAUUGGGCGUAAAGGGUGCGUAGGCGGCGCGGUAAGUCGGAUGUGAAAUCUCGGAGCUUAACUCCGAAACUGCAUUCGAUACUGCCGUGCUUGAGGACUGGAGAGGAGACUGGAAUUUACGGUGUAGCGGUGAAAUGCGUAGAGUAUCGAUAGGAAGACCAGUGGCGAAGGCGGGUCUCUGGACAGCU